rnacentral:tRNA from 1 species
AAAAAUUUAGUUAAAAUAUAACAUUAGCUUGUCAAGUUGAAAUAAUUAAUUAAAUUAAUAAUUUUUA